AGAUUAAUGGUAAUUCUGAGUAACUAUGUUCUGCAGGAGGGUUAUUUUGUAGUCAUUCUGUUGAUCUUCUUAUGUUAGCUCUAAAUAUAAUUGCUCGGUUUGUAAUCAUUCUUUCUCAUAUAAUUACAAUGAAUAUAAUGAUUCCUACAAUAGAAAUUGUAGACCCAAUUCUUGAUACUACGUUUCAUGAUGUAUAUGCGUCUGGGUAGUCAGAGUAUCGUCGAGGUAUUCCUGCUAAUCCUAGGAAGUGUUGAGGAAAGAAUGUUAAAUUUACUCCAAUGAAUAUAAUUGUAAAUUGGAUUUUUAAUCAUGUAUUAUUUAUAGUUAAUCCUGUAAAUAGUGGAUAUCAUUGAAUGACACCUCCUAUAAUUGCAAAUACUGCUCCUAUAGAUAAUACAUAAUGAAAGUGGGCUACUACAUAAUAUGUAUCAUGUAAUACAAUAUCAAGUGAUGAAUUUGCUAAUACUAAUCCUGUUAAUCCACCAAUUGUAAAUAGGAAAAUAAAUCCUAGAGCUCAUAAUAAUGGUGGAUUGAACUUGAAUUUAGUUCCAUAUAAUGUAGCUAAUCAUCUAAAUACCUUAAUUCCUGUAGGUACAGCAAUAAUUAUUGUUGCUGAUGUAAAAUACGCUCGUGUGUCAACAUCCAUUCCUACUGUAAAUAUAUGAUGUGCUCAUACAAUAAAUCCUAUUAGUCCAAUUGAUAGUAUAGCAUAAAUUAUACCUAAUGUUCCAAAUGAUUCAAUUUUUCCUCUUUCUUGACAUACAAUAUGUGAAAUAAUUCCGAACCCCGGUAGAAUUAAAAUAUAAACUUCUGGGUGUCCAAAGAAUCAAAAUAGA